GCACUGCUGAGGAGUCCCAUACUCGGACGAAACGGCCGUCCAGUGA
rnacentral:hammerhead_ribozyme from 1 species